rnacentral:lncRNA from 1 species
AUGGCUCUGUGGUCACAAUGCACCAGCUGGCUUUCACUGGAACAGUGUCUAAAGUACACGCACAUCUCACAAGAUGCCUCCCUGACUAUGAGGCUGCUGUACACACAAACCUCAGCACAGCAUGGAAAGAGGAAGAGAGGCAAAACAGUUCUCAUCCCAGCAAUUCAUCAUGGCGGAAAAUUCAUCCUGGGAGUCCCAAUCUUCUCCCACUAUCUCUUUCAAGUAAAGAAGGAAGCCUUUCCCUUUCUGAAGAAUUCAACCCACAAGACACAUGAAAUGACACUGCUUUUUCCAGCCAUCUUCAAGGAGCAAACAUUUCAAAGGUUGCCAUUCAAUGGAAGAAAAAGCUGUGUGAGACAAAGGAGCCUUGUACUGAUGGCACAGGAGUUUUAACUUCAAGACUCAAUCUGCAACAGAUUUCUUGGACAACCAUUGAUAACCAAUUCAUUUAUGAGAGUACCCAGAUCUCACUAAAAUCAGUGGAUAGACUUUGGUGGGCUUUGGGAUUUUGUUUCAGUGCCUCCACAAACUGAUGAAAGUGUUGCAUUAUGAGAGUGUAUAAGACUAAAUGAUAUUUUUUUUUUCAAAAGAUUUAGUUUAGAAGAGUAUAUAGGUCAGAAACUGAAGGACUUAUGUAUUGUAGCCUUAUACCCUCAUACUUACUCGCUGUUAGAGUUCCACUCAUAUCUAAUGCAGGAGCUUUUUGUGCGCUCUCACGGUGGCACGAGCACUGCUUUUGCACAGAGUCCUCCUCAAUUUAAUCAUUAGAUCUCCAUACCAUGUAUCUCCCUUCUUCUUUCUUCCUUUCUGGUCACAAUGUUAUGCUAGAGAUGAAUCUCCUAUAGUAUUUGAAUAUUUGAUAUUUACAUUGUCUUUCAUGUUGAUUCUCAUGUUAAAAGACCUCAAGAUAAGGAGAGAUGACCACUGAGGUGCUGUUUGUUUUUCCAUCUGAAUUUCUGUCUCCAUCAUCUCUACCUUCUCUACCUGUGAUUUUCUGGCAAAAAAAAAUAAACAAAAAAAAAUUCUGUCUUCGGUUUACUAG